rnacentral:rRNA from 1 species
CCUACGUGAGGCAGCAGUGGGGAAUAUUGCACAAUGGGGGAAACCCUGAUGCAGCAACGCCGCGUGAAGGAAGACGGUUUUCGGAUUGUAAACUUCUGUUCUUAGUGAAGAAUAAUGACGGUAGCUAAGGAGCAAGCCACGGCUAACUACGUGCCAGCAGCCGCGGUAAUACGUAGGUGGCAAGCGUUAUCCGGAUUUAUUGGGUUUAAAGGGUGCGUAGGCGGUCAGGUAAGUUAGAGGUGAAAGCUCGAUGCUCAACAUCGAAACUGCCUCUGAUACUGUCUGACUAGAGUGUAGUUGUGGAAGGCGGAAUGUGUGGUGUACCGGUGAAAUGCUUAGAUAUCACACAGAACACCGAUUGCGAAGGCAGCUUUCCAAGCUAUUACUGACGCUGAGGCACGAAAGCGUGGGGAGCGAACAGGAUUAGAUACCCCUGUAGUC